UCAAAAACACAGGUCUCUGCUAAACCGUAAGGUGAUGUAUAGGGGCUGACGCCUGCCCGGUGCUGGAAGGUUAAGAGGAGUGGUUAGCUUCUGCGAAGCUACGAAUCGAAGCCCCAGUAAACGGCGGCCGUAACUAUAACGGUCCUAAGGUAGCGAAAUUCCUUGUCGGGUAAGUUCCGACCCGCACGAAAGGCGUAACGAUUUGGGCACUGUCUCAACGAGAGACUCGGUGAAAUCAUAGUACCUGUGAAGAUGCAGGUUACCCGCGACAGGACGGAAAGACCCCGUGGAGCUUUAC
rnacentral:rRNA from 1 species